CCAGCGUGGGCCACUUUGUAGGAAGCUGGCUGUGGCUGCGCUGAGUUCCCUCCUCCCCUCAGGUCGUUUGGCUUUCUCUUCGAGGGACACGUGACUUCUCCCUGCGGCCUUCCAGAAGCUGCUGAAUAGGUGGAGAAGAGCUGACCUGGGAUUCCAGCACAGCUCAUAAGCGCUUCCUCAUCCACCACCCGGAGUCUUCUGGGCAGCCAGGAGGAGCAUCAUGCUUCUUUUAUGGGCCAAGGCACUGCAGGAGCUGCAGAACGCUCAAUCUGAGCCUUGAGUGGCCUCUGGCUCCAGCGGAAGACAAGCAACAUGACAGCAGGGCUCCCUGGUCCAAGCAGAGGCUUGCAGCCCAGUCCCAGGAGGACACAGGCUUGCUGUCCUUGGGGAGAUAAGGGAAAAGCCCAAUGAGGCAGGACUUUGGGGUCUUAAAGAACAGGACAGGACUAAAGUCCUGAGGCCUGGGUGCUAGUUGUCAUUCCCCACCGACCAGCUAACUCAUAGAAAGACACUUUCUCUUGGGGUCUCCCCUGUAAAUUGAGGAAGAAGACUGGAUGAUUUUUGUUUCUAACAAUUCUAAGCACCUCAAAAAUGACUGGUGGAGUCCCUGCCUCCCCCACUGGUGGGCAAGAGAACAGAUUUGAGAGCCAGACCACGUGGACUCACAUAGAGACUCUGCCAGCUGGUAGACUUUCAACAUGUCACUUUCCGGAUCAAGAGUCCCUCUCAGAAUGGAGUAAAAUCCAGCCAGACAUUCAGGGCUGGUUACCAGUGGCUUUGAGCUAGCUUUCCCCGCCUGCAAGUCUGCGCCCCCACCCACACAACCCCAUCUAGGCGUCAGGCGCAGCUCCCAUCCCUCCUCCACAAGCGGCCCGCGGGCAGCCUCGUCUCUGCUGCCUCAGCCCUGCGCGCUCACUGGCCACUCGGCCUGCACGGCCUCUCCAGCACUCGCGUGCCCGAAUCCUGCAGCCUUCUCCAUCGGCCCCCAGCCGCUGGAGGAGCGCAGCACUGGAGGGCCGCCGAGAGGAACCGCUCCAAGCCUCUGGCUCAAAGUUGUGCUUAUCGCUAGCCUUGGGGUUGAACACUGGAUUCUGGAGGCUGAUGUUUUGCUGGGUCCUCUGGGAGCAGUAGGAUCGAGUUUGGCAGCCCUGCUAGCCUGGCAUCCAAUUCAGUGCUCCUGCUCAGAGAGGGUGAACCAAGACUGGCUGAGUUCAAUUGCUGUGUCUCAGCUGCAGCGGCCCCAGACCUAACUUCAGCCACAAGGGACAAACCCCUCCCCACCUCUCUUCCUGAACAUUGGCCGACGAAGCAAGGGAGGGAGGGACUCAUCCAGGCAACCACGGCUCCUACCAGGCUCCACAAGUACAGAAGAGCCAGUGCAAACGUCCCCUUCACCUGCGCCUGCGCUGAGCUGUUGAAGGUGACACUGUUCUCAUGGCCAGAGUCUCUGACGACCACCACGUUGCCCUAUCCACUGGCUGUUCCUCUGACUCGACCUCCCAGUGCGGCUGGCAUGGCUGACUGCGUCCUCUCUUGGAAUAGUCCUCCUGGCCUCCAGGAGGGACACCACUGUCCCCAGGAGCCUUACUGCCUCCUUUCUUGCCAGACCUCUCGCUGUUGGCGGGAGGGCUGGGUGCUCUGACCUUCUGGACAGCUCUCACCUCUCCCUAGGCAAUCUGAGCUAGCGUAUGACUUUCAUUAUUUUUUCCAACCCUCAGGUUUUUAUCUCAGCUUGGACUUCUCCCUUGAGCCGCAGACUUGUCUAACUGCCUUCAUGGGUUUGUCCUGAGAGCCUCAAAAUUAAAACAGACAUCUGA